GGCGCUUCCGCAAAGAUGAGCGCUGGGCUGGCGGCUUGGUGGGAGGCUGCGGUGCGGGCUUGGCCGGCCGAGGAGCUGUCGAGUCCCGGCCCUCUGGCAGCGGCUGUGGCCGGCGUGGCCCUGGCAGGAGCGGUGUGGCAUCACGGCCGCGUGCAAGCACCCACGCGCGAAGGCAGCCUUAAGGUGCUGGCGCAGAAAAAUGACUUGGGACCAAUAGAGAAACUUUCUCUAUGUAAACAGCGGUUCAUGUAGUUUCGUCACUGGAGCAUGAAGGAGAAUAUUACAUGACACCCCGAGACUUCCUCUUCUCAGUAAUGUUUGAGCAAGUGGAGCGUGAAACACUAGUCAAGAAGCUGGCAAGAAAGGAUAUCGAGGAUGUGCUAUCAGGAAUCCAAACAGCACGCUGUGGAUCAACUUUUUUUAGAGACCUGGGUGAUAAGGAGGUAAUUUCAUACACCGAGUAUCUUUUCUUAUUACAAUCCUCACAAAACCUCACACUGGGUUCCUUGUUGCUUUUAAAAUGCUGGAUGCAGAUGGCAAUGAGAUGAUUGAAAGAAAGGAGUUUGUCAAGCUGCAGAAGAUCAUAAGUAAACAAGAUGACUUCAAGACAGUGAAGACUAAGGAGACAGAAUACCAGGAACCAACAGUGAAAGAGCCUGGAGUUAACACAACCCUUCAAGUGGGUUUCUUUGGGAAAAGAGGAGAAAAAAAAACUUCAUUAUAAAGAAUUUCGAAGAUUUAUGGAAAAUUUACAAACAGAAGUUCAAGAAAUGGAAUUCCUUCAGUUUUCUAAGGGUCUGAAUUUCAUGAGAAAGGAAGACUUUGCAGACUGGCUCCUUUUCUUCACUAACACUGAAAACAAAGACAUCUACUGGAAAAACGUGAGAGAAAAGUUGUCGGUUGGAGAGAGCAUUAGUUUGGAUGAGUUCAAGUCAUUUUGCCAUUUUACAACGCAUUUGGAAGACUUUGCUCUCGCCAUGCAAAUAUUUAGCUUAGCUCAUCGCCCUGUGAGACUGGCGGAGUUUAAGAGGGCUGUGAAAGUAGCAACUGGACAAGAACUCUCAAACAAUAUUCUGGACACUGUCUUCAAGGUCUUUGACUUGGACGGUGAUGAGUGCCUAAGCCACGGGGAGUUUCUUGGAGUAUUGAAAAACAGGAUGCACCGAGGUUUAUGGGUGCCGCAGCAGCAGAGUGUGCAAGAAUACUGGAAAUGCGUGAAGAAGGAAAGCAUCAAGGGCGUCAAGGAAGCCUGGAAACAAGCUGGAAAGGGCCACUUUUAAGGAAGAGAUAGGUAGCAAUUACAUCGUUUUGAGGUGCCAGAAUUUGAGACAUUUUCUCAAAGAAUGAACUGUUUUUCUCUAAGUCUUCAUUGAGUUGCUUUGUAAUGUAAAGAUGUCAU